ACGCUGGCGGCACGCCUAACACAUGCAAGUCGAACGAAGUAGCAAUACUUAGUGGCAGACGGGUGAGUAACAUGUAGGUAUCUGCCCUUUGGCCUGGAAUAACACGAGGAAACUUGUGCUAAUACCGGAUAAGUCUUUACGGAGAAAGCUUUAUGCACCAUUGGAUGAGCCUGCACUUGAUUAGUUUGUUGGUGGGGUAAUGGCCUACCAAGACUGUGAUCAAUAGCUGAUUUGAGAGGAUGAUCAGCCACAUUGGGACUGAGACACGGCCCAAACUCCUACGGGAGGCAGCAGUGGGGAAUCUUGCACAAUGGAGGAAACUCUGAUGCAGCGAUGCCGCGUGAGUGAAGAAGGCCUUUGGGUUGUAAAGCUCUUUCGUCGGGGAAGAAAAUGACUGUACCCGAAUAAGAAGGUCCGGCUAACUUCGUGCCAGCAGCCGCGGUAAUACGAAGGGACCUAGCGUAGUUCGGAAUUACUGGGCUUAAAGAGUUCGUAGGUGGUUGAAAAAGUUGGUGGUGAAAUCCCAGAGCUUAACUCUGGAACUGCCAUCAAAACUUUUCAGCUAGAGUAUGAUAGAGGAAAGCAGAAUUUCUAGUGUAGAGGUGAAAUUCGUAGAUAUUAGAAAGAAUACCAAUUGCGAAGGCAGCUUUCUGGAUCAUUACUGACACUGAGGAACGAAAGCAUGGGUAGCGAAGAGGAUUAGAUACCCUCGUAGUCCAUGCCGUAAACGAUGUGUGUUAGACGUUGGAAAUUUAUUUUCAGUGUCGCAGCGAAAGCGAUAAACACACCGCCUGGGGAGUACGACCGCAAGGUUAAAACUCAAAUGAAUUGACGGGGACCCGCACAAGUAGUGGAGCAUGUGGCUUAAUUCGAAGAUACGCGCAGAACCUUACCAACACUUGACAUGUUCGUCGCGACUUUAAGAGAUUAGAGUUUUCGGUUCGGCCGGACGAAACACAGGUGCUGCAUGGCUGUCGUCAGCUCGUGUCGUGAGAUGUUGGGUUAAGUCCCGCAACGAGCGCAACCCUCACUUUUAGUUGCCAUCAUUAAGUUGGGCACUCUGAAAGAACUGCCAGUGAUAAGCUGGAGGAAGGUGGGGAUGACGUCAAGUCCUCAUGGCCCUUACGUGUUGGGCUACACACGUGCUACAAUGGUAUCUACAACAGGAAGCAAAACUGCGAGGUUAAGCAAAUCCUCAAAAGAUACCUCAGUUCGGAUUGCACUCUGCAACUCGAGUGCAUGAAGCUGGAAUUACUAGUAAUCGUGGAUCAGCGUGCCACGGUGAAUGCGUUCCCGGGUCUUGUACACACCGCCCGUCACACCAUGGGAGUUGGUUCUACCUUAAGGCAAGGUUUCAAACCCUUGACCACGGUAUAGUCAGCGACUGGGGUG
rnacentral:rRNA from 1 species